rnacentral:rRNA from 1 species
AGAUGGCCUUCGCGCUCUCCCGCCGAGAGUGCCGCGGCAACAGCUCCAUUUGUAAUCUGGCCUUCGGGUCCGAAUUGUACCUUGCAAAGGAUGCUUUUGGCGAGGUGCCUUCCGAGUUCCCUGGAACGGGACGCCUUACAGGGUGAGAGCCCCGUACGGUUGGACACCAAGCCUCUGUAAAGCUCCUUCGACGAGUCGAGUAGUUUGGGAAUGCUGCUCUAAAUGGGAGGUAAAUUUCUUCUAAAGCUAAAUACCGGCCAGAGACCGAUAGCGCACAAGUAGAGUGAUCGAAAGAUGAAAAGCACUUUGAAAAGAGGGUUAAAUAGCACGUGAAAUUGUUGAAAGGGAAGCGUUUACGGCCAGACCUUUUCCUAGCGGAUCAUCUGGUGUUCUCACCGGUGCACUUCGUUAGGUUUAGGCCAGCAUCGGCUUCUGUAGAGGGAUAAAAGCAGUGGGAAAGUAGCUCUUUCGGGAGUGUUAUAGCCCUAAGCAUAAUACCUUUACGGGGGCCGAGGACCGCGCUUUUGCAAGGAUGCUGGCGUAAUGGUCGUCAACGACCCGUCUUGAAACACGGACCAAGGAGUCGAACAUUUGUGCGAGUGUUUGGGUGUUAAACCCUCACGCGUAAUGAAAGUGAACGGAGGUGAGAGCCCUUUACGGGGUGCAUCAUCGACCGAUCCUGAUGUCUUCGGAUGGAUUUGAGUAGGAGCAUUAAUGUUCGGACCCGAAAGAUGGUGAACUAUGCGUGGAUAGGGUGAAGCCAGAGGAAACUCUGGUGGAGGCUCGCAGCGGUUCUGACGUGCAAAUCGAUCGUCAAAUCUGCGCAUGGGGGCGAAAGACUUAUCGAACCAUCUAGU